rnacentral:rRNA from 1 species
UACGAAGGGGGCUAGCGUUGCUCGGAAUCACUGGGCGUAAAGCGCACGUAGGCGGCUUGUUAAGUCAGGGGUGAAAUCCUGGAGCUCAACUCCAGAACUGCCUUUGAUACUGGCGAGCUUGAGUCCGGGAGAGGUGAGUGGAACUGCGAGUGUAGAGGUGAAAUUCGUAGAUAUUCGCAAGAACACCAGUGGCGAAGGCGGCUCACUGGGACGGUACUGACGCUGAGACGCGAAAGCGUGGGGAGCGAACAGG